AGAGUUUGAUCAUGGCUCAGAACGAACGCUGGCGGCAGGCUUAACACAUGCAAGUCGAACGCAUCCUUCGGGGUGAGUGGCAGACGGGUGAGUAACGCGUGGGAACGUGCCCUUCAGUUCGGAAUAACCCAGGGAAACUUGGGCUAAUACCGGAUACGUGCGAGAGCAGAAAGAUUUAUCGCUGAAGGAUCGGCCCGCGUCUGAUUAGCUAGUUGGUAGGGUAAUGGCCUACCAAGGCGACGAUCAGUAGCUGGUCUGAGAGGAUGAUCAGCCACAUUGGGACUGAGACACGGCCCAAACUCCUACGGGAGGCAGCAGUGGGGAAUAUUGGACAAUGGGCGCAAGCCUGAUCCAGCCAUGCCGCGUGAGUGAUGAAGGCCUUAGGGUUGUAAAGCUCUUUCGUCCGGGACGAUAAUGACGGUACCGGAAGAAGAAGCCCCGGCUAACUUCGUGCCAGCAGCCGCGGUAAUACGAAGGGGGCUAGCGUUGUUCGGAAUCACUGGGCGUAAAGGGCGCGUAGGCGGCUUGAUAAGUCGGGGGUGAAAGCCUGUGGCUCAACCACAGAAUUGCCUUCGAUACUGUCUGGCUUGAGACCGGAAGAGGUAAGUGGAACUGCGAGUGUAGAGGUGAAAUUCGUAGAUAUUCGCAAGAACACCAGUGGCGAAGGCGGCUUACUGGUCCGGUUCUGACGCUGAGGCGCGAAAGCGUGGGGAGCAAACAGGAUUAGAUACCCUAGUAGUCC
rnacentral:rRNA from 1 species